ACGCCCGUGGCUCAACUGGAGAGAGUGCCUGCCUACGAAGCAGGAGGUUGCAGGUUCGAGUCCUGCCGGGCGUG
rnacentral:tRNA from 1 species